rnacentral:rRNA from 1 species
CCUAACACAUGCAAGUCGAGCGAGGUAGCAAUACCUAGCGGCAGACGGGUGCGUAACAUGUGGGAACCUGCCUUUUGGUUCGGAACAACACGGGGAAACCUGUGCUAAUACCGGAUAAGUCCUUACGGAGAAAGCUUUAAUGACCAAAAGAUGAGCCCGCAUUUGAUUAGCUAGUUGGUGAGGUAAAGCUCACCAAGGCGAUAAUCAAUAGCUGAUUUGAGGAGGAUGAUCAGCCACACUGGGACUGAGAUACGGCCCAGACUCC